rnacentral:rRNA from 1 species
AUGUCAAGGUUACAUAUGUACACCACUUAUUCAUUAGUUCACUGUAAAUUAUUUAGGUGUAUAAUUAUAUCAACAACCAAAAAGCUCACUGGUCCUGAAUCCUGGGAUAUGGGAAGUUUGAAGAGGCCCAACAGGCCCGCCCCGGUGGCUACAAUGAACUCAUUUCGAAUUGUCAAAGAUGUGAAAAUGCUUUUCUGGACACACUUCAGAAUUCAUUUAUUUAGUAUUCAUUUCGUACAGAAUGAACUCAUGUCAUUUAGUAUUCAACAAGACCAUCUUUUUUUUCAUGCACACACCUAUGAACAUGAUUGA